AGAUUUGACUUCAAAUUCCAUUCAGCAUUUAGAGCGUGGGGUAUUUUCUGGACUCCAGUCUCUUCAAUUUCUGGAUUUGAUGUACAACAAUAUCCAGGGUAUCGAAGAAUUUACGUUUGAAUCUCUGGCGUCUCUCCAAUAUCUGGAUCUUUCAGACAACAAGAUUCGAGACAUUGAGGUAGGAGCUUUUGAUGGCCUGCAGAAUGUAACUGAUUUGUAAGUUAAAAUCUUUUUUACAACUCUACGUGUUUACCGAUUACAUUUUAUUACAUGG